AGGGGUGUAGCUCAGUUUGGCUCAGAGCGGCGGUCUCCAAAACCGCAGGUCGGGGGUUCGAUCCCCUCCGCCCCUGCCA
rnacentral:tRNA from 1 species